AAUAUACUAUUAGUUCAUGCAUAGAGACUUAAACUCCGUUGAACCCAUUCCCUACCCUACUUGCUAGCCACGUGGUCAAUAAAAAUUGGACAAAAGGCUCUAUACCACUCAUGAAGAUUUGGGGAGAAAACAAAAAAUAAAGCUUCAGGGGGGUAAUUCAAAAUUUCAAAAUAGCUUAUUCAAAUCGGCAAUUACCAAAAUGGAGAUACCCUAAUAUUUGCCGCUUCUUCUUCACCCUUCCUAUCGCUUUGUCUCUCUUUAAAUAAUUCUAUUUGACAUCUUUUCCUUAGCAACUGCUUCCUCUUGUGUUUCCAAGCUCUCCUUCUUCCGUCGAUGGCUAGCUAACCUAUGAUGUUGUUCCUUCACCACCAUAGGCGUCGGUGAUCUUCUUUAUCACAAAUCUGCCAGCCUCCACCACUCACGUUGCUGUCACCAAUAUUCGAGGAUUAUUUGGAACUAAAACCCAAGUAUGAUUUGGGAUUUCCUACACUACAGAUGUUACAAAAUGGAACCACAAAUAAGGAAGAGAUUUUAACGCCAUCCCAUUUUGGUUUAUUUUUCUUUUGGUUCUUAAGUUUUUGAAAAUAGGUCUAUGUGAAGGUGACGAUCUCUUAAUCUUUUUAUGUUGAUUAUGAGUUUUAAGUUAUUUAAGUGUAGGUGUAUUUUAUGUACUCAAUUUUCUUUCUUUAGAUGUUUCUCUCUCACACUUAUGAUUUUGUUUAACAAAUCUAUAUAUAUUUGUGUGUAAGUGUUUAUUUGUAAGCGUAGGUGUGUUUGUGUGA